rnacentral:rRNA from 1 species
AACGAACGCUGGCGGCAUGCCUAACACAUGCAAGUCGAACGAAGCCUUCGGGCUUAGUGGCGCACGGGUGCGUAACGCGUGGGAAUCUGCCCUCUGGUGCGGAAUAACUCAGGGAAACUUGAGCUAAUACCGCAUAAUGACUCCGGUCCAAAGAUUUAUCGCCAGAGGAUGAGCCCGCGUCGGAUUAGCUAGUUGGUGAGGUAAAGGCUCACCAAGGCGACGAUCCGUAGCUGGUCUGAGAGGAUGAUCAGCCACACUGGGACUGAGACACGGCCCAGACUACUACGGGCGGCAGCAGUGGGGAAUAUUGGACAAUGGGCGAAAGCCUGAUCCAGCAAUGCCGCGUGAGUGAUGAAGGCCUUAGGGUUGUAAAGCUCUUUUACCCGGGAUGAUAAUGACAGUACCGGGAGAAUAAGCCCCGGCUAACUCCGUGCCAGCCGCCGCCGUAAUAC